rfam:Nicotiana attenuata strain TT scaffold02125, whole genome shotgun sequence.
AUUUCGCUAUGUUGACACUUUCGCACUAUAUCCUCAAAUCUCUCCUAUGCUUCAAACAUAGUUUCAGUCUCGUUCUGGCAGAAGUUAUUGAUUUCUCUUCUAAAAUU